CCUACGGGAGGCAGCAGUAGGGAAUAUUGCUCAAUGGGGGAAACCCUGAAGCAGCAACGCCGCGUGGAGGAUGAAGGUUUUCGGAUUGUAAACUCCUUUUGUUAGAGAAGAUAAUGACGGUAUGUAAAGAAUAAGCACCGGCUAACUCCGUGCCAGCAGCCGCGGUACUACGGAGGGUGCAAGCGUUACUCGGAAUCACUGGGCGUAAAGCGGGCGUAGGCGGGAUAGCAAGUCAGAUGUGAAAUCCUAUGGCUUAACCAUAGAACUGCAGUUGAAACUGUUAUUCUAGAGUAUAGUAGAGGUAGGUGGAAUUCGUGGUGUAGGGGUAAAAUCCGUAGAGAUCAAGAGGAAUACUCAUUGCGAAGGCGACCUGCUAGAACAUAACUGACGCUGAUGCGCGAAAGCGUGGGGAGCAAACAGGAUUAGAUACCCGUGUAGUC
rnacentral:rRNA from 1 species